AGGCCGUACAUGGUACUUAGGCAGUUCCCUCUGAGCAACAUGUGCCUUCGUGACCAGCAUCUUUGGCGUGUGCGGUGCCCCAUGAUAUGCUUUUAUGCGGUGGAGUGACAUCUUCCUCAUCGUGUUUCAAAGCAGUUCGGGGUGCAAAAACACACCCCGCCGGAUUACGUUGAGACAAGUGUGAAGCUACAUAAGACAAAUGGGCAAAGCAAUAAGACUGUCAUCAAUUGGGAGGAGCACCACAUGACUUGGGUGGACAUGUGGAAUGCUUAGAGACAACAUUGAGUUGAAAAUGAUCAAACACCCGACACUGACGAGGCGGCAUACUUAAGGCAUUUGGAGUGGAUGCGUACAGAGUACAGAGUUAUCCAUAAGGCUUCCUGGACUCAUUCCGAUUGCUUGGACUUACUGCCGAGUGAGGCUGCUGAUGCUGCAUUCAACAAUUCAAUUAGGGAGACAGUUGGAGCGCAUCUUGACUAUGGUCCUCUCCAUGACCGAGUGGGCACGGAGCUAUGGAGAUGUAUCAACGAGAGUAACGUGGUCCUUGGCCGUGCCCCAUGUCCACAAACGGACGGACUUGUUAGAACUACUCUGCAGAAGGUCGCCAAUCGGUGUCGCAUACUAGCGGCUUUACUUUCUUGCCACGGUGUUUCGCCCACCGAUGUGAGGGCACGUGUGCAUUACACGAUGGAUGUGCAGUCUUCCGCUCGUCCGUCUUCCAGCCGGCCACAGGCCUCUUCCACUCGUCCGUAUUCGAGUCGAGCACAUGCUUCUUCUAGCCGAGCACAUGUUGAGGAGAUUGAAGAAGAAGAGGAGUGAGACAACGAGGCCGCGGAUCCGAACUUCAUUGAGUUUGGGGCUUCAUAGAUGGAAGAUGCUCCACAGCCAAGUCAACCCACUCAGCCGACGGAAGAAACACGUCGAGCUAGCUCAAGAAACGUCAGACGUCCUGGCUGGCAGAACACUCCAGAGGGCUACGUUACUAAGGGCAAGAUGGCUGCGAAGAGAGGGAGGAAGUGAAGUGUUAUGACCUAUGUAGUAUUCUGAGUGUUAUGAUGUUGUGUGUUGAACUAUGAAGUUUUUAUCUUCUUAAGUAUGAAGUAUGAACUAUGAACUAUGUCUGUUGAACUAUGAACUAUGAUGUUAUGCUGA